CAUGGUUUUGUCAUUAAAAUUAACAAUAUUUUAAAAUUUCUUAUUCUGCUUUUAAAUUUAACUUUGCUAUUCGUUAACAUAACAAAAUUCUAAGAUAUCGUAAGUAUUUUAAAAAACAAUAGUAAAUGCUGCUAAGAAAAUGCUUUAAUUGAAUUUUUGAAAUUUUUCUAUUAAAAGAAUUUAUAUAUAUUACAUGGAACAUAAUAAUCGGUUCAGACUCAACUUGUAUAGACUAAAAACAAUAAGUUAAGCGUUUUCAAAAAUGGCAAAGCUUAUGAUAGCGCUCAUGAUUUUUUCUUGUUUAGCAUUGUUAAUUCGUGCAGAAUUAUGUGCAGAAGACGAAGUAUAUUUGUACUGUGGAACUGCUUGUGAGCCAACUUGUGAAUAUCUAUCUGUUUUCUGUACAUUUCAAUGUGUAGCGGGUUGUUUUUGCAAACCUGGUUUGAUAAGAGAAACUAAUGGUAAAUGCGUCACUCUAGAUAAUUGCGCUUGAGUGGUAACUCUACAACCGGAAAUGAUAAAGAUUACUAAAAAUAUUUAUGUAAUAAUUUAUCGCAAAUAAAAAUUUGAUUUUAAAAAACUUA